rnacentral:rRNA from 1 species
UACGAAGGGGGCUAGCGUUGCUCGGAAUCACUGGGCGUAAAGGGUGCGUAGGCGGGGCUUUAAGUCAGGGGGGAAAUCCUGGAGCUCAACUCCAGAACUGCCUUUGAUACUGAGGAUCUUGAGUUCGGGAGAGGUGAGUGGAACUGCGAGUGUAGAGGUGAAAUUCGUAGAUAUUCGCAAGAACACCAGUGGCGAAGGCGGGUCUCUGGGCCGAUACUGACGCUGAGGAGCGAAAGCGUGGGGAGCGAACAGG